UACGAAGGGUGCUAGCGUUACUCGGAAUUACUGGGCGUAAAGCGUGCGUAGGUGGUUCGUUAAGUCUGAUGUGAAAGCCCUGGGCUCAACCUGGGAAUGGCAUUGGAUACUGGCGACCUAGAGUGCGGUAGAGGGUGGCGGAAUUCCCGGUGUAGCAGUGAAAUGCGUAGAUAUCGGGAGGAACAUCCGUGGCGAAGGCGGCCACCUGGACCAGCACUGACACUGAGGCACGAAAGCGUGGGGAGCAAACAGG
rnacentral:rRNA from 1 species